GGGAGUUUAGCUCAGCUGGGAGAGCAUCUGCCUUACAAGCAGAGGGUCAGCGGUUCGAUCUCGUUAACUCCCA
rnacentral:tRNA from 1 species